rnacentral:rRNA from 1 species
UACGGAGGGUGCAAGUGUUGUUCGGAAUUACUGGGCGUAAAGGGCGUUUAGGCGGUGUGGUAAGUCAGAUGUGAAAGCCCUGGGCUUAACCCAGGAAGUGCAUUUGAAACUGCCAUGCUUGAGUAUGGGAGAGGAGAGUGGAAUUCCCAGUGUAGAGGUGAAAUUCGUAGAUAUUGGGAGGAACACCCGUGGCGAAGGCGACUCUCGGGAACAAUAAUUACGAUGAGGCGCGAAAGCGUGGGGAGCAAACAGG